rnacentral:lncRNA from 1 species
GUCAUCUUUGAGCAUGUGCAGCAGUGUAGUUUUUCCAGCAUUGUCCAGUCCAAGAAAAACUAGUUUGCCUGAUUUCUUGUACAGUCCUAAGAACUGUAAUACGCUACUGAAACCACUGUAAAUCCAAUCAAAUAUGAAGGACAUAUCUGAAUCUUUUAGUUUUUGAUCUUCCAGGUGAUCCAUCAUGAUCAGGUUUUGAAGAAGUGAUACUCAGAACAAAC